UACGAAGGGGGGCUAGCGUUGCUCGGAAUCACUGGGCGUAAAGCGCACGUAGGCGGAUUGUUAAGUCAGGGGUGAAAUCCUGGAGCUCAACUCCAGAACUGCCUUUGAUACUGGCGAUCUUGAGUCCGGGAGAGGUGAGUGGAACUCCGAGUGUAGAGGUGAAAUUCGUAGAUAUUCGCAAGAACACCAGUGGCGAAGGCGGCUCACUGGCCCGGAACUGACGCUGAGGUGCGAAAGCGUGGGGAGCAAACAGG
rnacentral:rRNA from 1 species